UCUCGAUUGGUCUAGUGGUAAGGAUACCUGCUUGUCAUUGAGACAGCAAUUCGCAGGUGGCCGGGGUUCGAUUCCCCGAUCGAGAG